GCGUGGAGUUGCGUAACAACUGGGUGAUGUAUCCACAGCCCAGCUAAGGUUUUAGGUCGUAGUAGUUAUAGUAGCUAGUUACACCAAAAUUAUUAGGUAUAAACAGAUCCACAUCAUUUCGCAUUCUCCCCCCAAAAUUAUAUGUAUGUCUACAUAUAAAGCAUAUUAACAUUAGUCUCAACAUGAGGAAAAGUGAAAACUCCGUUUUAUCAAUUAUACUUAUUGCUAUUGUGGUUUGGAAAUCGGAGGCAUAUGAAAAGGACAGCUUGAAUAAUGAAUGUGUCAAAUGUGAUAAUGGAGAUUGUAAAAUAUUCUUUAAUGGUUGGAUGUACUUAAGAGAUUAUCCAAAAGAUAAGACAUUAGUUGAACGAGUUCCCAAAAACGCAGACAUUUAUGAUCCAUUGGCUGCAUGCAUAUUGCCUGGUUUUCGAAUAACGGGUAAUUUGGAACAAUUUCUGUGUUUUUCGUCGCCAAUAAUGGGAUGCCAGCCAGUCGCAAAUAAAACAUUUAUUAUGCAAAACAAUUCUGAAAAUAUAUGUUCGACGUGUCUUGAGUACUGCGGUUGUAAUUAUCCUAGUCGAUCCUUAUCCAUCGUAUGCAGCCAUGUUGCACUAUUAUCUACGUGCUUUAUUGUGAUUUUGUUAGGUAUGUAACAAGAAGAAUGUUUCAAUAGAUCUGUAAUUCAAAAAUGAAUAAAAACUUUUAAAAGUAGUUGAAUCAAGUAAAUUUAAA